rnacentral:rRNA from 1 species
UGAGGGAAAGUUGAAAAGAACUUUGAAGAGAGAGUUCAAGAGUACGUGAAACCGCUCAGGGGUAAACGGAAAAGACCUGAAUAUCCGAAAGGGGAGAUUCACGUCUUACCAUUUGCUCAACUUUUAAAUGAUUUGAGAUGGCCUCUCGCCCUAUUCAGUGUAAAAGCUGUGAUAGUGGGUUUGGUCGCUCUCAUUUAAAUAGCAAGGGUAAUGGUGGACCGCACUUCUCCCUUAGUAGGACGUUGUGACCUGUCAAUAAAUAUUCUAAGUAUUUGGCUAUUAUGUCUGUUCUAAGUUAUACCGCCAAGGUAUUUUCUUUAAAACAGUUUUAGCCGUUUUAUAUACUGGAUAAAAUUGACAGUAACGAAUUAUGGUGUUGAGCCACAUGAAAUUAUAUGUACGUAAAAAUAUAUAUAAUGGAAAGUGUCCUAAAAUAUGGCUGUUUGCAAGUGGGUUGGUAAAAAAUAGUUUUAAUUCGGAUUUUUAACCGGUUA